UACGUAGGGGGCAAGCGUUGUCCGGAUUUAUUGGGCGUAAAGAGCGUGUAGGCGGCCAUGCAGGUCAGCUGUGAAAACUCGAGGCUCAACCUCGAGACGUCGGUUGAAACCGCAUGGCUAGAGUCCGGAAGAGGAGACUGGAAUUCCUGGUGUAGCGGUGAAAUGCGCAGAUAUCAGGAGGAACACCGGUGGCGAAGGCGGGUCUCUGGGCUGAUACUGACGCUGAGGAGCGAAAGCGUGGGGAGCGAACAGG
rnacentral:rRNA from 1 species